UGGCAAAUGGGUGGGUUUGGUUGGAUUUGGUUUGGUUGAAAAUGGUUUGAACAAAAAUGGGUUGGGUUUCAAACCACCCAUAUUUUAUGUGGGUAAAUAUGGGUUGGGUGAUAAAUGGCUGGGUUGGUUAUGGGUUAACCCAUAUUAUACAAGUGUAUUAUUUUUUAUUUUUUAUUUUUAAAUAAGGUCAACGUGGGACCCAGUGACUAUUUUAUUACUUUAUCCAAGCUGUCCAAACAUAAAACGAAAAGGCUACAUCUAAAGACAAAACAAAACAAAAAUAAAAUUGUUCCCCCAAAAGAGUAAAGUUGAACCAACAGAGAUGGUAAGUUUGCUCCGUCAGAGGUGUCUCCGUCGGUGAACUAUCCAUGGUUUCUGGUGUUCUCUGUGUGUAUUCCAUUGUUGUGAGCUCCUAUGAAGUUGUUGGAAGCUCAAAUUCGACAUCUGAUGUUGGUGUGAAGUAAAGCCAUUGUUGUUGCAGAUCAAUCUUCGUUCUUCAGGGAACUCGGAUCGCUACCCUUUGGGUGCGCUCUGGGCAAACCCCUCUCCGCCCGGAAACCGCAGGAGAUGUAAACCGCACUGGGAAAGCCUCGUGCUACGACCUUAGGAGAUUAUUGGCGAGGGAAAUCGAUCCCAAGUCUCUCAUUUGGGAAAACAUUCACUGGACCAACUCAGUCACCCUUGCGGGUAUAUUGAUCAUGUUAUCUCUCCUCAAUAAAUAUUUUUUAUAUAUCUGUGUUAACUCCAUCAAUGAAAUACUCCCUCUUACAUGAUGUAAUUAAUACAGGGUAAAAUGGGAAAAAAUACUAAAGUAAAAAAUAAUGGUAAUCACAAGACUAUAUUUUUCUGACUUUUUCUAACACUUGUGUACGCAUGGAGCAUGCUAGAUAGAAUGUUCAACUUUCACAUAAUCAUAUUAAACAAUUUUUGUGCAAUUGAAAUAGUACUUGUCCAUGAGACCAUAAGAUCUACGUGAUUUCUCUCUUUAACUUUUUUAACAUGUAUAUACACAUGUAGCAUGCUCUAUAAUGUACAGCUUUCAAAUAAUCCAAUUAAAAA